ensembl:lncRNA
CUCAGCAUCACCCCUCGCCAGGCGGGGGAAGCCCCCAGCCCACCCUGCCCCCUUCCCUUUACCUGCUGCCGCUGGGAAAUCCGCCGGCUCCCCGAGCCCCGGGAAGGGCGAGGCCGGCCCCGGCGGCAGGGCUGUGCCAGGGCCNGCGGGGCGGGCGCUGGGCCGGGCGGCUCCGCCCCGGGCAGCGCGGGAGGAGCGCUCGGACCGGAGCAGCAGCAGCAGCAGCAGCAGCAGGAGGAGGAGGAGAAAAGGGAGCUGCAGCCAGCCGUGGGCAGCUCUGCUCUUUGGGGUGUCCCCCGGCUGCCAGCGAACCCCACAAGGGUUCGGGUUUGGGGCCCAAGGGAAAGGUCGGGGCAGCCCUGGGGAGGGGAGUGCUUGGCACCGUGCCAGGGGGGUUUGGGAAUGCUGAGCCCAUAAAGGGCAGCGAGCAGCCGGGAAUCACACAAUGGGUUGGGGGAGGUAAAGGACCCUAAGGAUCAUGGCAUUCCAAGCUCCCUUUCCGCUGUCCCAGGUUGUUGCAAGCCCCGUGCAGCCUGGCGCUGCACACUUCCAGGGACGGGGCAGGCACAGCUUGGGGUAGGAGGGAUGUUGUGUGUUCCCACCGAGGCGGAUAAAAAGUGUCAGGUGGGGGUUUGGGCUUUACAGCCUCCUGAUUUCUUCCCCAGAUUUUGCAACUCACCCUUCAUUGUUUCUACCCCCGUUAUCGCCUGCACCCGCUCCCACGUUAGGUCCUGAACUCCCAGGCGUGCAGGUGGAGCUGAUCUCCACACCGAGGCCAACCGGGGUCCCUGAGUUACAGCAUUUCGGGGGAAGGAUGAGUGUUCUGUUGGAUCUACACCAUGCUCAGGACUUGUUUCCCUCACGCUGCAGCAGCACAGGUUAUUUGGGACGAGAAGGAUGCCCAGUUGUGCCCAGCACUGUGGCCAAAACUCAGCUGUGUCCUGGCUGUGAAUCCUUUGCCCUUCUUGAUGCAAGGAUCCUGCCAGGAUGCAGGGCUGGGGAAGGAUUUGUUCUCCAGCCACCCCAAGCAGCUGUGAGGACCACAAAGAUGAGCAGAAGGACCAUCUUUGUCCCCUGAAAGCAGCACUUUGGCUGCUAAGGGCCGUGCAGUGUCAAAGAAAAGUCACUGAAGGAAAUUUACCAUGAAUUUCCAUGCAGCCUCCAGGAAAACGGAUGCAAUUUUGGACAGAGAAGGUUGGUUUCAGAUUUAUAAGCUCCUUGUCCCGUGCUGAGAGCCUUGAAUGCUCAAAGCUACUUUAAAUAUCUCCCUUUGGCAUGGCAGGGAUUUCUGCUGUGCUCAUUCCUCACAUUUCCAGCCAGCUUCAUUUCCAAAGGAUGCAGCUCUAAAGCCCUCCUGAAAACCCUCUGGACCCUGGGGAUACUCCCUGUGUGUGAUUCCCUUUUUAAGCUGCUCCUUUAGGACCUGGCUCGGCUCUAAACCAGGGCUGAGUUUUGGGAUUUCACACCACGUCCUGGAAGUGUUUUGUUACGUGCUUAUGGAAGGGAAAAUGCCUCCAGAAGGGACAUUUUUGUUUCCUGGCAGGGAAAUACGAGGGCAUCAAGGCAAAGUCUCAGAGCAGUCAGUGCUCUGGUGUUUGGUUGGGAUGGAUGGGGAGGGAGGUGAUGCAGCUUCCUACAAGAGUGGGGAUCAGGAGGAAUGGGCUGAUUAAUCCUGAAACUCAGCACCAGCCUCCUCCAAGAAAAAGUGCUGUUCCAUCCCCUGUGGAGGCAGAAAAAAGCCCUUUUUCCUCCUCCCAGGCUCACUCCUCCUCCCAGGCUCACGGUGGGGAAGUCUUUACUGGAGAAACACUUUCCUGAGCAGUCCUGAUGACCCAGACACGGCCUUGGACACUUCCAAGGAUCCAGGGGCAGCCACAGCUGCUCUGGGCACCCUGUGCCAGGGCCUGCCCACCCUCACAGGGAACAAUUCCUCCCUGAUAUCCCAUCCAUCCCUGUCCUCUGGCAGUGGGAAGCCAUUCCCUGUGUCCUGUCCCUCCACCCCACAUCCCUCUCCAGCUCUCCUGGAGCCACUUUAGGCACUGGAAGGGCUCUGAGGUCUCCCUGGAGC